rnacentral:tRNA from 5 species
GAGCCAUUAGCUCAGCUGGGAGAGCAUCUGACUUUUAAUCAGAGGGUCAGAGGUUCGAAUCCUCUAUGGCUCACCA